rfam:Myotis davidii contig154280, whole genome shotgun sequence.
GGUGGUUCUCGGGUGACACAUCCCAGAAUCGGGCUCCCUCUUCUCUGGUCCUGGGUGCAUCACCCAAGAACCACA